rnacentral:tRNA from 1 species
AGCAGAGUGGCGCAGCGGAAGCGUGCUGGGCCCAUAACCCCAGAGGUCAAUGGAUCGAAACCAUCCUCUGCUA